GUCCCCGUACCUCAGUAGGAUAGAGGAUUCGCCUCCUAAGCGGAAUGCCGCAGGUUCAAUUCCUGCCGGGGACGUCA
rnacentral:tRNA from 1 species